UUUAUUGAGAUUUCGCCGGUGGUUUCAGCCGCCGUUCCGGCUGACCGACGCCGUAAUUGCUGAUAAGAAUCGACGGCGACAGGUUUUGACGGUAAACAGCCGGCGACUUUUAUUGAGAUUUCUCUAGUGGUUUCAGCGUCUACGGCGGCGGCGGUGCCUCGGUGGUGUACGGACAGUAGGCGAUGGUGUGGGGAUCUUCACGUCUGACCAGUGGCGGAGGAAGUGUGUUUCUAGCUUCAUGAUGGUUCGGGUUUUGUUUCGGCUCGGGUCACUGUUCGGUUCACAUACGUUGAGAUAGUGAAGGCAUCACAUAAAUUUAGAGAAAAGAUGAUGACAAAACAAGCUUAGGAUGAAUAUGUAAUUUUAUUUUCUUUAUGUUUGUAGAUUUUAUAUAUUUUUUGUUCGUAAAUUUGUAUAAA